UUUCAAAGACUGUCCUUUACAUAAUAAACAAAAAAAUACAUGGGUGCUUGGAAAUACCAGAUUUAUUUCUCGUGUUGAACAUGAUAUCUGGUCAUAUCUCACUCGUUCGCUGCGCUCACUCGUGAGAUAUCAUGUUCAACACUCGAAAUAAAUCUGGUAUUUCCAAGCACCCAUGUAUUAUUCUCUAUAUAAUCAACUUUAAAUAUGUUAAUGUGGUUGAUAAACCAGUUAACAGCACAAUAACCUCCUUGCGUAUUUGGCGGCUUGCAAUUGUGUUAUCCUGUACGUUUUACACAGUAAUUUAAUUGAACUCACUGUCAUUGUAAAUAUUAAAACCUGCAGAUGUAACAAAAAAUUGAAAGUAACUUUUUAUCUAGUUACAAAAAUCAUAAAGUAACUUUAUAACGGUAAAUAAUUACAUAUUUUACGUGUAACUUUUCGGAAACUUUACUAUACAAUUGCUUAUCAUACUGGAAAAUACUGGAUAGAGUUAUCUAUAAGGGAUUUUUAGUCGAAAUUUGCGAUAAAACGAAGUUGCACGAAGUGGAGAAGACGAGUAAUUCUUGCUGCGGGAUAUGUAUAUGGAGAUCAGUGAG